rnacentral:rRNA from 1 species
UACGGGGGGGGGAAGCGUUGUUCGGAAUUACUGGGCGUAAAGGGCUCGUAGGCGGCCAACUAAGUCGGACGUGAAAUCCCUCAGCUUAACUGGGGAACUGCGUCCGAUACUGGAUGGCUUGGAUUUGGGAGAGGGAUGCGGAAUUCCAGGUGUAGCGGUGAAAUGCGUAGAUAUCUGGAGGAACACCGGUGGCGAAGGCGGCAUCCUGGACCAAUAUUGACGCUGAGGAGCGAAAGCGUGGGGAGCGAACAGG